GUAGGGGCCAAGCGUUGUCCGGAUUUAUUGGGCGUAAAGAGCUCGUAGGCGGUUGGGUAAGUCGGGUGUGAAAACUCCAGGCUCAACUUGGAGAUGCCACCCGAUACUGCUCUGACUUGAGUUCGGUAGGGGAGUGGGGAAUUCCUGGUGUAGCGGUGAAAUGCGCAGAUGUCAGGAGGGACACCGGUGGCGAAGGCGCCACUCUGGGCCGAAACUGACGCUGAGGAGCGAAAGCGUGGGUAGCAAACAGGAUUAGAUACCCUGGUAGUCCACGCCGUAAACGUUGGGCACUAGGUGUGGGCCCUAACCAACGGGGUCCGUGCCGUAGCUAACGCAUUAAGUGCCCCGCCUGGGGAGUACGGCCGCAAGGUUA
rnacentral:rRNA from 1 species